CCCUGGACGGGAUCACGUAAUACGUAAUGGAUGAUGGCAACCCGACGGGCCCAUCUACCAAUAUCUCUUGAUGCACCUCCGGCGGGGUCCGACACUGGUCGUGAGCUAUUUGAAGGCUGCAGAAACGGUGAUGUGACCCGUGUUAAGAAGCUGGUUACGCCUCACAAUGUGAACUCGCGGGAUACUACAGGAAGAAAGUCUACUCCUCUUCAUUUUGCUGCUGGGUUUGGGCGGCGAGAUGUGGUCGACCAUCUUCUACAAAAUGGGGCCAAUGUUCACGCCAAGGAUGAUGGUGGUCUGAUUCCCCUGCACAAUGCCUGCUCCUUUGGCCAUGCAGAAGUAGUGCUGCUCCUUUUGAAGCAUGGCGCUGACCCCAAUGCAAGGGAUAACUGGAACUACACACCACUUCAUGAAGCAGCAAUCAAAGGAAAGGUUGAUGUGUGCAUAGUGCUUCUGCAGCAUGGGGCAGACGCAUCUAUCCGCAACACAGAUGGAAAAAUUCCGCUGGACCUGGCGGACCCAUCGACCCGUAGUGUGCUCACAGGGGACUACAGGAAGGAUGAGCUGCUCGAGUCUGCUCGCAGUGGCAAUGAGGAGAAGCUUCUGGCACUGCUCACAUCUAUAAAUGUCAAUUGCCAUGCCAGCGAUGGCCGCAAGUCUACACCACUCCACCUUGCAGCAGGCUACAACAGAGUGCGGAUUGUCCAGCUCCUCCUGCAGCAUGGGGCUGAUGUUCAUGCCAAAGAUAAAGGUGGCCUGGUGCCUUUACAUAAUGCGUGUUCCUACGGCCAUUUUGAAGUGACUGAGAUGUUGAUAAAGCAUGGGGCCAAUGUGAAUGCCAUGGAUCUGUGGCAGUUCACACCACUGCACGAAGCAGCCUCCAAGAGUCGAGCUGAGGUGUGCUCACUGCUACUUGCACAUGGAGCUGACCCUGGUCUGCUCAACUGCCAUUCGAAGAGCCCAGUCAUGGUAGCUCCUUCCCGUGAUCUCCAGGACCGCAUGCUUUAUGAGUACAAAGGACAUGCACUACUGGAUGCAGCUCGGCAGGCUGACCUGGCACGCAUCAAAAAGUACAACACCCCUGAUGUAGCCAACUUCAAGCAUCCGUUCACAGGAGACACAUCCUUGCACGUGGUUGCGGUUUCUUCAUUUCCCAAGCGCAAACAGGCUAUAGAAUUGCUGCUCCGGAAGAAUGCUAACAUCAACGAAAAGAACGAAGAGUAUUUGACGCCAUUGCACCUAGCAGCUGACAAAUCUCAUCUUGAUGUUGUGGACGUUCUGAUCAAAAAUGGUGCAAAGGUGAAUGCACUGGACAGCUUGGGGCAGACUGCACUGCAUCGGUGCUCUCGCGAAGGAAAUGUGCAAGCUUGCCGCUUGCUCCUGUCGGCUGGGGCUGACCCUGGUAUAGUGAGUGGGCAAGGCUAUACAGCAUCACAGUUGGCCAGUGAUGCAGUUCAGCAGCUUUUGCAUGAACCUCAGCACAGCAGUGGAGAUGCAGAGUUCCAGCUGCUUGAAGCAGCAAAAGCUGGAGAUCUUGACAUUGUGAAGAAAUUGAUAUCGUCUCAUGCUGACAUUGUGAACUGCAGAGAUGUGGAUGGGCGACAGUCAACGCCAUUGCACUUUGCAGCAGGGUACAAUCGUGUGGCAGUGGUUGAAUUCUUGCUUCAGCAUGGUGCUGAUGUUCAUGCCAAAGACAAAGGGGGCUUGGUGCCUCUACAUAAUGCUUGCUCAUAUGGCCAUUAUGAAGUAGCUGACCUUUUGGUGAAGCAUGGUGCCAGUGUAAAUGUUUCUGAUCUCUGGAAGUUCACGCCACUUCAUGAAGCAACUGCUAAAGGAAAAUAUGACAUUGUGAAGCUGUUGCUUAAGCAUGGAGCUGACCCAAGCAAGAAGAACCGUGACGGUAAUACACCUCUUGAUUUAGUGAAAGAUGGUGACCAAGAUGUGGCAGAUCUUCUCAAAGGGGAUGCUGCACUUUUAGAUGCUGCUAAGAAGGGCAAUCUUGCAAGGGUCAUGAAGCUGGUAUCAAGUGAAAAUAUUAAUUGUAGGGACUCUCAAGGCAGGAACUCAACACCACUGCAUUUGGCGGCCGGAUACAACAACCUGGAAGUUGCAGAGUUGUUACUUGAAAAUGGUGCAGAUGUCAAUGCACAGGACAAAGGAGGCCUGAUUCCACUUCAUAAUGCAUCUUCUUAUGGGCAUUUGGACAUAGCAGCCUUGUUGAUAAAAUACAAUACUGUGGUGAAUGCUACUGACCGGUGGGGCUUUACACCACUGCAUGAGGCUGCACAAAAAGGUCGGACACAGCUCUGUGCCUUGUUGCUGGCACAUGGCGCAGACUCAACAAUGAAGAACCAUGAAGGUCAGACACCUCUAGACAUUGCAGCAGCAGAAGAUGUGCGCUGCCUGCUGACCGAUGCCAUGCCUCCACAUGCCCUCCCUCCUUCGGCUAAAGCAUCAGCAGUUCAGCCACAAUGCCCAUCGAACAUGCUAGGAGGAAGCCCACUGUCAGCGCUGUCAUUGGAAGCACUGGAGGCUGAAAUCCCUGCAGCCAUGAGCCUGCUGUCAACACAGCGUGCCGGUCACGUACGAGAAGGCUCAGCAGCCAGUGAACCUCUCGCUGAGCUGACGACACACAACAAAGAAUUUAUGCAGUUUCUCACCAACAUUGGCCUGGGGCAUCUUUGUGAGCUUUUUGAGAAAGAGAUGAUUACAAUUGACAUCUUGGCUGAGAUGGGUCACGAGGAACUGAAGCAGAUAGGCGUGUCUGCUUAUGGGCACCGACACAAGUUGAUGAAGGGCAUUGAGAAGCUGCUCACAGGUCGAGCAAUCUCGUCAACACUUAUGCCCAACACAACUGGAACUGUCUUAGUGGACCUUUCGCCUGAUGAUAAAGAGUACAUGGCUGUAGAAGAGGAGCUUCAAGCUACCAUCCGUGAACAUAGGGACAAUGGAUAUGCGGGUGGAAUUUUCAUGCACUACAACAUCAUCAAGAUUCAAAAAGUGCGCAACCGGAAACUCCUGGAACGCUACUGCCAUCGGAGGAAAGAAGUUGCUGAGGAAAACCACAACCAGUCCAAUGAGCGCAUGCUCUUUCAUGGCUCACCCUUCAUCAAUGCAAUUGUUCAGAAGGGGUUUGAUGAACGCCAUGCCUACAUUGGGGGCAUGUUUGGAGCUGGGAUUUAUUUUGCAGAGAACUCAUCCAAAAGCAAUCAGUAUGUCUAUGGCACCUGCGGAGGAACGGGCUGCCCAAUACACAAAGAUCGUUCCUGCUACAUCUGCCACAGGCAAAUGCUGUUGUGUCGUGUGACACUGGGCAAGUCAUUCCUGCAAUUCAGUGCCAUGAAGAUGGCACAUGCUCCACCUGGUCACCAUUCAGUCAUUGGGCGGCCCAGCGUAGGUGGACUCUCCUACCCCGAGUAUGUUGUCUAUCGGGGCGAGCAGGCGUACCCGGAGUACCUGAUAUCCUACCAGAUUGAGAAACCUCAGGAUCAUGUCGUUCUGAGUUCGUAACAGGGUCUACUCCUGGCGAAGAACACUCAUUAUGGAUUCCAUGUCUUUGCAGUGAGCACAGCCUUCGAUGGGGGACUAGUGUCUGUGUGUGUUCAGUGGCAGUUUUUUUGGUGUAUGAGAAUGAUGAAGGUUCAAGCACAGGCUGUCCUAGCUACGACAAAACACUCUGAAGCUGGUUCAUUGUAUAUAGGAGGUGCUAGAAACAGAAUUUUAAUAUGAAAAUAGCAUUUUGAAACUAGAGCAGGCUUUAAUUGACAUUGAAACUGAAUUUUAGUUAGGCAUUGUUGGCCUUUUUAACUGAGUAGUAGGCCAAAAUGCAAUACAGUUCUUGUGGUGAUAAAAGUAUCUUACUUUGUGGGGCUUGUCCCAAGCAGCUCAUUUUGCUGAGAUCGGUGUUAUGUGAUAGUGCUUAUUUCUUCGUGUACAUAGCUUAUUGUGUGUAUGAAUGCAUCCUUUUCUAGAGUUUUAUCGUUUGUGUGACAUAUGUGCUAUUUAUAGGCCUGUUUUUAGUUGCCCAUUGUCAAACUUGCAUAGGUAAGAGUUAUUUCACAUAUAAGAUGUGGAAUCUUUCAGAGAUUUGCAAUGAUACAUAAUACUUAUUGUGUGAGUGGCUUGCACGAUCUUAUAUCACUGUAUACUGUUUUGUAACAGCCACACU
rnacentral:misc_RNA from 1 species